rnacentral:rRNA from 1 species
GACGAACGCUGGCGGCGUGCUUAACACAUGCAAGUCGAGCGAUGAAAGCCUUAUGAACUAUUCGUAGUGAUUGAGGCCGGAUUAGCGGCGGACGGGUGAGUAACGCGUGAGCAACCUGCCUUAAACAACGGGAUAGCCUCGGGAAACCGGGAUUAAUACCGUAUGAGGCCCCGCCUUCACAUGAAGAAGAGGUUAAAGAUUUAUCGGUUUAAGAUGGGCUCGCGUCUGAUUAGCUAGUUGGUGAGAUAAAAGCCCACCAAGGCAACGAUCAGUAACCGGCUUGAGAGAGUGAACGGUCACAUUGGAACUGAGACACGGUCCAAACUCCUACGGGAGGCAGCAGUGGGGAAUAUUGCACAAUGGGGGAAACCCUGAUGCAGCGACGCCGCGUGAGCGAUGAAGGAAUUCGUUUCGUAAAGCUCUGUCCAAGGGGAAGAUAAUGACAGUACCCUUGGAGGAAGCCCCGGCUGAAUACGUGCCAGCAGCCGCGGUAAGAC